UAAACACAGACUCUGACAUUACACUAACUGGACAAGAACAUCUGCUCAAGCUUUUGAUUUCCAGGAUGAAGACUUUACGUGCAAUGCUACUGAUGAUGUGUGUUGCAUUGGUCUUUUCAAAACCAUAUCCUUUGCGCAGAAGAUUUGAUUCAUCUAGCUCAGAGGAAAGUGAUUCACGAAGAGACGAUUCACAGUCGAAUGAGAGCGAGUCUAAAUCAAGUGAAUCUGAAUCUUCAGAGGAAGAUGUGAGAGUUGUGAUGAGCACAUUGCCUCCAGUUAGAAAAACAAAUCCACCGACCGCUGGCAUAACAAGACCAACAACCACAACACAAGUCAUCACAGACUGCGUUUUUGUGGAUGUGAUAACUGGCACAAGGGGUGAUAACAAUAAUGUCAAUGUAAUAUCUUGCUGUGCUUCUGGUUAAUCAUCUUUUCCUGCAAAAAAAUAAAAAAUAAAAUAAAAAGAUAAAAAAUAAUAAUAAUAAUAAUGCAAUUCAAUUAAAUGUUUUUUGGUGUACAGUCCAUUGCAACAGUAUAAAGUAAUGUUUAUGUACUGAUAAUGAAGGUCUUGAAACUGAAUGAUGUAACUUUUUUAAUUAUUUACUUUUUUGCUUUCUCCCCAUUUUGGUUUUAAGUCCGGAUUUACAAUAAAAAAAAUCUUUCCA